rnacentral:rRNA from 1 species
GACGAACGCUGGCGGCGUGCUUAACACAUGCAAGUCGAACGAUGAAGCCUAGCUUGCUAGGUGGAUUAGUGGCGAACGGGUGAGUAAUACGUGAGUGACCUACCUUUGACUCUGGGAUAAGCCUGGGAAACUGGGUCUAAUACCGGAUACGACCAAUCUCCGCAUGGGGUGUUGGUGGAAAGCGUUAUGGAGUGGUUUUAGAUGGGCUCACGGCCUAUUAGCUUGUUGGUGAGGUAAUGGCUUACCAAGGCGACGACGGGUAGCCGGCCUGAGAGGGUGACCGGCCACACUGGGACUGAGACACGGCCCAGACUCCUACGGGAGGCAGCAGUGGGGAAUAUUGCACAAUGGGCGCAAGCCUGAUGCAGCGACGCCGCGUGAGGGAUGACGGCCUUCGGGUUGUAAACCUCUGUUAGCAUCGAAGAAGCGAAAGUGACGGUAGGUGCAGAGAAAGCGCCGGCUAACUACGUG